AUUGAACGCUAGCGGGAUGCCUUACACAUGCAAGUCGAACGGCGUGGCGAACGGGUGAGUAAUGUAUCGGAACGUGCCCAGUAGCGGGGGAUAACUACGCGAACGCGUAGCUAAUACCGCAUACUAUUGGAGCGGCCGAUAUCGGAUUCGCUAGUUGGUGGGGUAACGGCUCACCAGGGCGACGAUCCGUAGCUGGUUUGAGAGGACGACCAGCCCCACUGGUACUGAGACGCGGCCCAGACUCCUACGGGAGGCAGCAGUGGGGAAUUUGGGACAAUGGGGGAAACCCUGAUCCAGCCAGCCCGCGUGUGCGAUGAAGGCCUUCGGGUUGUAAAGCACUUUUGGCAGGAAAGCGGUACCUGCAGAAUAAGCACCGGCUAACUACGUGCCAGCAGCCGCGGUAAUUC
rnacentral:rRNA from 1 species